CCCUCUACCGCACCCGCAGAAGAGGGGAAGAAGGCGUGGAAAGACGUGCGUGCUCUUUCCUACUUGGGUAGGACUCGGCCUCAUGAGGCUCGUCACGCGGGGAAGGGGGCAAGAGGAGGUGGUACGGACCCGAGGCGGAGGAGGCGGGCGUAGGAGGAGGAGGGGAGAGAGAGAGAAGAUUUGGUAGCAGGAGGAGGGAGCAACGACCUGGGACGGGACGAAGCGGAGGAGGCGGUCGGAGAAGGAGGAACGGCAGCUACCAUCGCCACACUUGCCCCCGUCGCCGGCACUAAUCGACACUACUCAACUGGCUCGACCAAGGUGUGAUUCCUUGCUUGGGGGAACUGCGGUAGGAGACACCGUGAUGAGACGACGGAGGCAAGCAGUCAAACACUAGAGAAGGCGUAAGGGGAAAGGUCCUCAAGAACGGAAGUUGCGACUCCACUUUGCCGAGAAGGGUAUGAACAGAGAUUCGUUAAACUACUUUGCGAACACAGCUUUGUAUGAAAAAGAAGUCAAAACGAAGGACGACGACCCACAAUGAGGAGAGCAACUAGAAAGGGCGAAAAGAGCAGCAAGACCGUAAACUUCGAGUACACUUACCGGAGAGCUGAUUUCUUCCGCCAAUAAAGAUACGGAUUCAAGAAAACAGCCAUCUUCUUAGACAUCCCUUCUUUCUUUUUUUUAUGCAUACACUUACGGUUCAAACCUAAACGUUCUUUGUUGAAAUACACUUACGGUUCAAACAUAAACGUCGCUCGUUUACCUUCUACCGUUACGUAUGACAUCGUUGGUAUAUGCAAUCGAACGAAAAUCUAAAACUUAAUGAAACAUCAAUAACUUAUUGGUUCGUCAUUUUGUACGUUCUUUUAGAAGAUAAACAAAACUAGUACGUCGGGAUGACGAGGACUCGGGUUUAGGGUACUGGUACGGGGGUGGAGAGGAACUUCCUCAGACCAACGAUUCAAAAGAAUUAGUCAUACAUACCGGAGAGGCGUGUACGGGAGAGAAGCAUAAAUUCUCCGGGAGUUCGAAACAGUCAAAAGAAUUUCUGUACCUUAAAAUUAAAACUAUCAGGGUUGUUGUCACUAUGUCUACCUCGAUAGACAAUAAAUAACAGUUAGACUGUAUGAAAACAGUGGAAGAUCGUACAAAAUUCGAGAUACUUACUUACUACACACGGUACAAAAAGAAGAAGUAAAAGUACGUCUUCAUAAACUAUAUAGGACCCAUGCCUACUAACUAAAUAAACGUCUUACAGGGUCUUUAACACUUAGAGCCAAAUGUUCUUAGUUGUGCUUACAACUUUGUAACUAAAAAAACUUCCAUAAAAAAGGACAAGGGUUCGUAAAAGGAGUACAAACGAAGAUUUUGCAACGAAUCGUUCGUAAUAUACUAAGUACCUUAAUUGAAUCGUUCCUAUUACAUAGUCAAAUUGAAAACAUUUCUUCGUCUGCUCGUCACGUCAUUGGGAUGUAAUUUUAAUACUCUAUACAGUAUUAAGGCUGUUGCCAAGGUAUAUCCUUUAUAUUCUAUGCGUAUCUCUUCUCGAGUUUGACCUGUAAGAAAAGAAAAUCAAAGAUCUUAGGAACCGUCUCCCACAAUAUAUAAAGGUAUUUUUUUUAGUCGCUGUCUCUAAAUUUACAUCAUUGUAUACAAAUACGAAAUUUCAGGCCACAGCUUGUCAUGGGUACUAUUUCGAUGUGCCAACCUACGAUAACUAGUGCAUUCCACUCGAAUAUACUGAACCAAAUUGGAAAAAUCUAAUACAAUGGCUUAUAAUCCUCUUGAAAAACUAUACACAUAAACAUCUUAAACGACUACAAACAACGUUUUAUAACCACCGAUCCGUGAUACGAGGUGUAUGCGUUUCAAAAGUCAAAGAUAAAAGUAUUAACGUGGUCGGAAAAGACAUGGUUGUUACACUGCGACGUGAUUAUAUCUAAAAGUGUUCGGUACCUUUUUAUUUAUUAAACUGUUAGUUAUCGGAGGUCAGAUGUUAACAUUAAAACACGGGUGAAACCUCGAUAACCUACGGACUUACAGAGUGCAAGGAAACCACUAGCAACACAACACAAGUUUUAACAUCGAACUCUCCUCCUUUUAUUAAUUUAUCGUCCAACAUGUCUCAACGAUGGUAUGGUAAAGAAACACUGACGUACCAGAGUGGCAGUUAAAAGAUUUUCAUAUAAUCGUAGAACAAGAACCUUCUUGUCUAAAAGCAAUACAUGUCCUCCAGAUUGGUCCGUACAUCAAAAAAAUCAGAAAACAAGGAAACGAACUAAACCGCGCACCGCACCCGUAGACAAAGUUCAACCCGCCGUAUGUUAGGUACGUUCCCAUGAAUCAACAACAUACAUACCGUCGACGUCGUAGAACGGUUAAUCAGGGGUGAUUUUAAUUAAAUAGAGAGGUGGAAAAACCGAGUACUUAUAGCUACGCUCAUGACAUCCAUGGAUUUACGAUCUCUAAUGGUGGGAACUCAUCCAAAGAGAUUUGUCUGUUAUAUACCACCAAUAAAGACGAUGACAUCCAAAAAGGUACCAAAAUUAACACAUAUACCGUAUAACCGCAAGAGUCUCAACACCAAGAUCUAAACGAGCGACGAGAUAUCUAGAUAAUAAACUUCUUGAUUACUAUAUGUAACUCAAUGGAGCGUGGUAGUAAAUAGGAAAGUUGACGAACUAAACCUAAAAAAAAUUACAAUAGUUUAUCACAGGGACACAGAAUUGUUCGGUGGGUAAACAGCAGACAUACAAAACAGUAAGCGUUUCAACAACAGACUACUUCUGUCAAACAACCAGCUCCAGUGGGUUUAACUCAUACCAGAGAAAAUACAGUAACGAGACGGUCUCACGUUAAAAGUAACGUACCGUAUGUGGUCAACGGCAAUCAACUAUACAAACAACUUCAAGGUAAUGUUCAAUUUAUUUAAACAUCACACUAUAUGACUAAUAAUAUCAAACUAUUACAAUACGCACCUACCGGAAUCUAUACAUUUAUUUUUGUGGAAAUUCUUUUGAUUCGUAAGUUAAUAACAAGACAACACAAUAACUAAAGUGGCCAAAAUACAGCUAGCUAAUCAAGACUUCCUAAGGUGUAGCCCAUUAAAUCUAAUACAAUGAUCUCAUAAUCUUCUUGAAGGACUAUAUACAUAAAUCUCGUAAACGAUUCUAAACUACGUUUUAUAACUACCAGUCCGUAAUAUGACGCGUAUUUAUGUUAAAAAGUCAAAAAUAAAAACAACAACGUCGUCAAAAACAUAUCGCUAUCGGUUAUCACGCUGUAGUGUGAUGAGGUAAAAGUGUCCGGUACGGUGUAGAAAUGUACAUUCAAACAAGAGAUAUAUCAAGAGAAAGGUUGGAAGUGUAUAGGAUAAACAGUACCCUAGACCGACGAAAUGAUAGAAAAGGACCACACCUGCUACAAUAUCUCACUCGAUGGUAGUGAAGGGUAAUGAUUGACAUUAGCUAUUUAUACACAAGUACAACAUUUUCAACCUAUAAACAGCUUCGGUAACAGUACAGUACGUUAAUGAACGUCUAGUUGAUAUAUCAAAACAAGCCUAAUAUUUCGCCUUUACUAUUUUGGUAUGUUGGGAACACACUCAAAGUAAACUAAUAAAUGAAGGAGUUCAUCAUACCUAUAUCACGACGGUCCUAUAAUUCAUAUAAGUACUUCAACACGUUUCAAAUUUUAACCAACAUCAUAGAACGUAAACAGUUUAGGAGUAUACAACGACCAUCAGUGCGAAUACGAGUCCUAUAAUUCAUACGAACACGAUACAACACUGAUUUAUUUUCAUUACAUGUCCAAAUAGAAAACAAACGAGAUGAAUUUCUCAGGUCACAAAUGGGUCUCCCGUUAAUAUACAAGGAUGACGAGAGAGUGCACACUCCAGCUCUUUUAGUGACUACAAAGAUAAAAUGAACCGGACGUAAAACCAAAAGUUUAUCAGGACGAAGUUAAACUAUAAAGAUGAACGAAAAACAAACCAUUAUACUACAUAACAAAAGAUCGAGAUCCGGAUGAACACAAGUUCCAAAUCAACUAACACAAAGAAUUCCCACAAAAAAAUCAAUCACCGUAGUUGACGGAAAAGAAGUCCUAUUCGACUGUGGAUUAUUCCUAGUACUCUUGUUGUUUCUACGAUUCUCCGUUGUAAAACCCCAAUUCCUAUAAUUGUUGUUGUCCCGAAUACUCCGGCUUCUCUCGAGCUCACCACAGAAAACCAAGAACUUCGGAACGGGAAAGGACCACCUCAUCUUCGUUUUAUUAAGUCUCCGAAAUUCCGGGAUAAACUAUCAUUUCAUAAAAGAUACAUAAAGCUCUUAUGAAGUCAAAAAGUCUGAUGGUGUUAAAAUAAAUGUUAGUCGACAAACCAACGGGAUUUUUGACACUAAAAUUAUGAUAUCAUAAACGAUUUUGUGACAAAAAAGAGACAAAAUAUUUUUCUUGGGUUCUGGACAAAAAAUUUUUGUCUCGUCUGUUUUCUUGCUACAGCGUGCAGCAGUUGAAGAAGGGACGACUGAGCGGAGGGAGAUGUUUUUAAUAAACGCCGGCGGCGGGACACGAGAAACAUCUAGGGACGACGUACAUCCGGAGAGAGGUACCGAGCGGCAACAGGGUAGACGAUGUGCACGUCGAGGCGGCGUCUACGCAUUCUACCGGUUCGUCGGUCAGGAGCACGUCGAGACGGCGAACCACGGCGGGUUGCUAAAAAACCAGUACCGGCAAGUCGCCUCAAGUGAAUCCUACGCAAACCAACUUCCACAGCAUACUUACCCAACCCUGGCAAGUUAAAAAAACCCUAACUUGGUAAGUUAAGUACACAAACCGACUUAUAUUUACCACUCGAUUAAUAAAUCCUGCCCUGUACGAGUGUAUCAGUACGUACGUUUCCCACCGGUAAACUAAGCUGGCUAAACCAACCCACCUUGCCAAGUCGUAGAAGUACCGUAUAAGAGAAAAAAACCAAGCUUGGUAAGUACACGAAAUAUUGGUUUGUACAGAUAAAAGACUUGCUAGGGUCGGGUAAGUACUGGCGGGACGUUGGUUUGCGUGAGAAUCACGUUCGAAAGAAAGAAUACGUACGACUACCAUUGUGCGACGAGAUAGCGGUACACGUACCGGCAAGAAACCGGUUAGUGAAACGACGUACGUUACCGAUCGAAGCGACCUUUUGGUCUGCACAAACGUGACAAUUGCGACAUUGACUAAAAUGUAGCGACGUGGUUUGUCCAGGCCACAUAACAGUUAUGAUGUUUUAUGAGACAAAACAGUUUUGGUUAUGAUGUUUUAUGAGACAAAACAGUUUUGGUGCCAUACAAUAUGGAUGUACGAUUUUAUGACACCAAACAACUAUGAAGUCAAAAAUAUUAUGAAAUGAUAGUUUUUAUCGGAUUUUCGAUGACGUGAUGUGUAGCAAUCCUAGUUAAGAAAAAAAAGCCAAAGUUUAUGAGAGGUCAAGGAGGAUAAACUAACUAAGUACACUACCUGUAAAAAAGUUCGUUUAUUUGUCUUCCGUAUACAUAACAAUGCUUACUACAGUAGGUAUGUUCAGUUAUAGAAUUAUUAGGGUAUACAUCUUAAGUUCAAUAUCUCUUUAAAAUAAUAAGAAGACAAUUAACCAGCGAACUAGUUUACAUAACAUUUACUACAAUAAUAACAAGUUCUAUAUCUCUUUACAAUAACAAGAAGUAACAUCACCUACUAUAGGU
rnacentral:rRNA from 1 species